rnacentral:rRNA from 1 species
UGGGGAAUUUUGGACAAUGGGCGAAAGCCUGAUCCAGCAAUGCCGCGUGUGUGAAGAAGGCCUUCGGGUUGUAAAGCACUUUUGUCCGGAAAGAAAUCCUUGGCUCUAAUACAGUCGGGGGAUGACGGUACCGGAAGAAUAAGCACCGGCUAACUACGUGCCAGCAGCCGCGGUAAUACGUAGGGUGCAAGCGUUAAUCGGAAUUACUGGGCGUAAAGCGUGCGCAGGCGGUUUGCUAAGACCGAUGUGAAAUCCCCGGGCUCAACCUGGGAACUGCAUUGGUGACUGGCAGGCUAGAGUAUGGCAGAGGGGGUAGAAUUCCACGUGUAGCAGUGAAAUGCGUAGAGAUGUGGAGGAAUACCGAUGGCGAAGGCAGCCCCCUGGGCCAAUACUGACGCUCAUGCACGAAAGCGUGGGGAGCAAACAGGAUUAGAUACCCUGGUAGUCCACGCCCUAAACGAUGUCAACUAGUUGUUGGGGAUUCAUUUCCUUAGUAACGUAGCUAACGCGUGAAGUUGACCGCCUGGGGGAGUACGGUCGCAAGAUUAAAACUCAAAGGAAUUGACGGGGUCAUAGCUGUUUCCU